GACGAACCGUGCGAACGUUAUUCGGAAUCACUGGGCUUAAAGCGCGUGUAGGUGGCUUGGCACGUCUGUCGCUGAAAUCCCACGGCUCAACCGUGGAACGGGCGUGGAUACGACCAGGCUUGAGGGAUGUAGGGGGAUCGGGAACUUCCGGUGGAGCGGUGAAAUGCGUUGAGAUCGGAAGGAACGCCCGUGGCGAAAGCGCGGUCCUGGACAUUUCCUGACACUGAGACGCGAAAGCUAGGGGAGCAAACGGG
rnacentral:rRNA from 1 species